rnacentral:rRNA from 1 species
CGUAGGGUGCAAGCGUUAUCCGGAAUCACUGGGCGUAAAGCGUGCGUAGGUGGGAAUUUAAGUGAGAUGUGAAAUCGUGUGGCUCAACCAUAUCGUUGUAUCUCAUACUGGGUUCCUAGAGGACGGCAGAGGCAAGUGGAACUAGCAGUGUAGCAGUGAAAUGCGUAGAUAUGACCCGGAACACCGAUUGCGAAGGCAGCCCGCUAAGCAAUGAUUGACGCUGAGGCACGAAAGCGUGGGGAUCAAACAGG